rnacentral:rRNA from 1 species
AUUGAACGCUGGCGGCAGGCCUAACACAUGCAAGUCGAACGAGUGGCGGACGGGUGAGUAAUGUCUGGGAAACUGCCCGAUGGAGGGGGAUAACUACUGGAAACUGUCGCUAAUACCGCAUACCAUCGGAUGUGCCCAGCUGGGAUUAGCUAGUUGGUGGGGUAACGGCUUACCUAGGCGACGAUCCCUAGCUGGUCUGAGAGGAUGACCAGCAACACUGGAACUGAGACACGGCCCAGACUCCUACGGGAGGCAGCAGUGGGGAAUAUUGCACAAUGGGCGCAAGCCUGAGACAGCCAUGCCGCGUGUAUGAAGAAGGCCUUCGGGUUGUAAAGUACUUUCAGCGGGGAGGCGUUACACGCAGAAGAAGCACCGGCUAACUCCGUGCCAGCAGCCGCGGUAAUAC